rnacentral:lncRNA from 1 species
CUGGUUUUUACUGGACUUGUAUCUAAGUUUAUUCGGGGACGCAAACUGCUUCCGGUACACAGUGUGGCCUAGGCAGGUGCUGGACUCCCCGGCUCUAUGGCAUUUCCCGCCUCAUCCCGUGAGUGUGCCAUUUCUUCACUUUCCAGAGGCUGCCCUUCCUUAGCUGAAGUUUCCGAGAAACGCAGCAAGCUUUCCGCUCUUGGGUUCCAUAUGCCCAGAAGUGUUGGUCUCUGGCUCAAUGGGCUGCUGCUUCCACCACCGUACAGAACCCGGAAGAUUGCUGCGCACAGACAGGAGAGGGAAAAUGAACUUCCCACUCUUCGUAUGACAUUCCAGAUCACAUACUGAAGCCAUGAAACUAAUGGACAGAAAGAGGAACCAGCCAAGCUGGCCUUCCAACUGGAGACAUUCCCAUUAAAGUGCCAGAAAUGUGAAGAAAAACAUUUUGGAUUCUCCAGACCAGACCAGCAGCAACUGAAUACCACUGAACAGUCCCAGAAAAGGAAGUAAGAAACAAGGAAGGAGAUGGCCUUAAAGGGAAGAGUGGCAAGAACAGAAUAAAAAGGUAAAUCAAAAAAAGAAGAUUGGUUAGGCUGCUAACAGGAAUCAUCCUGAUUUGCUUUCUCUCAUCUACCACAUCCAAAUCAUAAGCCAGUAUUAUCCAUUUUACAUCCAAAACACACCUUCAGUAUCUCACUGUCACUCUCUUGCUCUCUCACUUGCUCCUCACAUUUUUUUUAAACCAGGAAAACCUUAUCUCUACCCUGGACUACUGCUUAGACCCCCCUAACUGAUGUCUCUUUUUGCACAGAGAUUAUUCUCCUAAUUCAUUCUCUAUAAGGCAACCACAGUAACCUUAAAUCAUUAAGGCCGGGGAUUUAGCUCAGUGGUUCCGCCACCUGCCUCAAAAGCCCAAG